UAAAUACUCCCGAGAGACCGAUAGCGAACCAGUACCGUGAGGGAAAGGUGAAAAGCACUUCGAACAGAAGAGUGAAAUAGUUCCUGAAACCGUGCGCCUACAAGCGGUCGGAGCUCGUUAAUGAGUGACGGCGUGCCUUUUGCAUAAUGAACCUACGAGUUGCCUUUGCCGGCAAGGUUAAGUGUGACGACACACGUAUCCGAAGCGAAAGCGAGUCUGAACAGGGCGUAUAGUCGGCAGUGGCAGACGCGAAACCAAGUGAUCUACCCUUGGCCAGGUUGAAGGCUGGGUAACACCAGCUGGAGGACCGCACCAAUAAGCGUUGAAAAGCUUCUGGAUGAGCUGAGGGUAGGGGUGAAAGGCUAAUCAAACUUGGAGAUAGCUCGUACUCCCCGAAAUGCAUUUAGGUGCAGCCUUGCGGGUUACUGAUGUGAGGUAGAGCGACUGAUAAGAUGCGAGGGCUUCACCGCCUAUCAAGUCUUGACAAACUCCGAAUGCGCAUCAGUUCUACCGCAGGAGUGAGGGCAUGGGUGCUAAGGUCCGUGCCCGAGAGGAGAAGAAUCCGGACCACCUGCUAAGGUCCCGAAAUGACAGCUAAGUUAAACUAACGAAGUCUGACUGCUAAGACAGCUAGGAUGUUGGCUUGGAAGCAGCCAUUCAUUUAAAGAGUGCGUAACAGCUCACUAGUCGAGGAGUCGGGCGUGGAUAAUAAUCGGGUAUCAAGUUGUCUACCGAAGCAGUGGGAUCAUUUAUAUGAUCGGUAGGGGAGCAUUCCAGUCAGCGUCGAAGGCGUACCGUGAGGUAUUCUGGAGCGUCUGGAAAAGCAAAUGUAGGUAUAAGUAACGAUAAAGGGGGCGGGAAACCCCCUCGCCGAAAGACUAAGGUUUCCUGAUCAACGCUAAUCGGAUCAGGGUCAGUCGGGUCCUAAGGCUCAGCCGAACGGCGAUGCCGAUGGCAGAAACGGUUAAUAUUCCGUUACUACCUUCAGGAGUGACGUGGAGACGCAGUAGUGACAGUGCCGCCAUCUGACGGAAUAGAUGGUUGAAGGGUGUAGGAGUCGAUCAUGGCAGGCAAAUCCACCAUGAGAUCCGAACCUGAUAGUAUGCCGCGUCCUUCGGGACAAGGCAAUAGUGCGCGUAAGCAUGCUGCCGAGAAAAUCCGCUAAACUUAAUCCUGCAGGUACCCGUACCGCAAACGGACACACGUAGUCGGGAUGAAUAUUCUAAGGCGCUUGAGUGAUUCACGGUUAAGGAACUAGGCAAACUGACCCUGUAACUUCGGGAUAAAGGGUCCCUACCCUUUUAUGGGAGGGCGCAGAGAAUCGGUCCAGGCAACUGUUUAACAAAAACACAGGGCUGUGCCAAAUCGAAAGAUCCAGUAUACAGCCUGACACCUGCCCGGUGCUGGAAGGUUAAGAGGAGAUGUCAUCGAUAAGAGAAGCGUUGAAUUGAAGCCCCAGUAAACGGCGGCCGUAACUAUAACGGUCCUAAGGUAGCGAAAUUCCUUGUCGGGUAAGUUCCGACCUGCACGAAUGGUGUAAUGAUCUGGACACUGUCUCAACCGUGAGCUCAGUGAAAUUGUAGUAUCGGUGAAGAUGCCGAUUACCCGCGAUGGGACGAAAAGACCCCGUGAACCUUUACUAUAGCUUAUCAUUGAAUCUGGGCACGUGAUGUGUAGGAUAGGUCGGAGGCUUUGAAGCAGGUACGCCAGUAUUUGUGGAGCCGCUGUUGAAAUACGACCCUUUAUUUGUUUGGAUUCUAACCCGUGGAACGGGGACAUUGAUUGGUGGGUAGUUUGACUGGGGUGGUCGCCUCCAAAAGCGUAACGGAGGCUUCUAAAGGUGCCCUCCGGCCGAUUGGUAACCGGCCUUAGAGUGUAAUGGCAUAAGGGCGCUUGACUGGGAGACUAACAAGUCGAUCAGGUAGGAAACUAGAGCAUAGUGAUCCGGUGUUUCCGUAUGGAAGGGACAUCGCUCAAAGGAUAAAAGGUACUCCGGGGAUAACAGGCUGAUCCCUCCCAAGAGCUCAUAUCGACGGAGUGGUUUGGCACCUCGAUGUCGGCUCGUCACAUCCUGGGGCUGGAGAAGGUCCCAAGGGUUGGGCUGUUCGCCCAUUAAAGUGGCACGCGAGCUGGGUUCAGAACGUCGUGAGACAGUUCGGUCUCUAUCUAUCGUGGGCGUAUGAAAUUUGCGUGGCUCUGACACUAGUACGAGAGGACCGUGUUGGACAGACCU
rnacentral:rRNA from 1 species